UAGGGGGCAGCCAGUGGGGGUGGCGGGCUGCCAAGGGUCUCACUGUCAGUAGAGUGCGUGAGCCACGGGCUGGCCCAGGCUGUAGCCAUCUUCACGCAGCCAGCCAGAGGGGAGACGAGGGAUGGUGGGUGGGUAAGUAGACGGAUGUAAGGAAUGGAAGGAGGAAGACAUGAGGCCAGAUGGUGAAAAGGAAUGUUUACACAGUACUUGCUGUGUGCCAGGCACCAUGCUGAGUUCUUUCCUUACAUUAUCUCAAUUGCUUUCCACAACAACCCUAUGAGGUGGGUGCUGUUAUUGGCCCCACUUUGCAGGGAAGAAGAACAAGGCUCAGAGAUGUGAGGUCACUUGCCCAAGGUCACACAGCCAGGGAAGAAUAGAGCCGGAGUGUCCAACUGAGGAGUGAGGUUGGGGAACUGCAGGUAGGGUGUGGGUUUUUCUGUGAGGAAGCAGCCGGGUCAGCCGGAAGCUGAAUCUGGUUGUGGGUUCAGCUGCUAGGACAGAGGAACUGGAUGUAGGAAGAGAUGCUGCUGGAAAGAUAGCAGGUGCUCGAGAAGUGUUUGUCCAAACCAUACGAUGUGGCCUUCAUCAUCGCAUGGGGUGGAGGUAGAAAAUUUCCUGUGGUGUGAAUUGAAGCUGAGAACAGAGUUAGCAUGAGUUUCUGUCUGGAUGAGACAAGGUUUCGGGGUGCUUCCAGACAGCUUGGGGGUUAAGAAGGCAGGUUCUGGAAUCUGAGGAUUGGCUGUGUCCAAGUACUGUGUGUACAGCUGGGAAGGCCUCUCACCUCUGAGCUGUUUCCUCCUCUGCGAGCUCAGGAUAGCCAGAGCAGCCACUUCGUUGUGCUGGGAAGGCACCAUAGGCCAGGCAGCCCUGCAGGAAAUGCUGCACUGGGAGGAAGAGGGCCAGAUCGUGGCUAUGGCUUUUUUUUUUUUUAUGAUAAAUUAUUAAUGUAUUAUCAAAAAUUUUAAACAUAUACAAAGUUAUGAGAAAAGUAUAAUGAACCUCCAUAUACCCAUCACCCAGAUUAAAGAAUUGUUGAGAUUUUUAUCUCUCUUUUUCCCUCUCUUUUUUCUUUCUUCUCUUUUCCUUCCUUCCUUCUUCCUUCCCUCUCUUUUUUUGUCGUUACUGAAGAAUUUCUCCCACCCUUUUAUUGAGGAAAACGUUCCAAUCUGUAGAAAAGUUAAAAGAAUCUUAUAGUGAAAACCAUUUCCCUUCUAGUGUCAUCAAAUCCUAACAGUCUGCCACAUUUUUUGAAUCUCUGUUUCUGCCUUUGUCUCUAGCUCUAUAUCCUUUUGUCUGGAUGUAAAUGUGUAUUUUUACAGGUGCCUUUGAAAGGAAGUUACAGACAUCAUGACAUUUGACCCAUAAAUCCCUAUAAUUAAAGUAUUUUAAAGCAUAUCUCAGAACUCAUAUUAUCUUAUCUCUAAAAAAGAUAUUUUCUUUCAUAACAGCUCUCAAAAUUAACAAUUACUCAUGUUCACAUGCUACCUAGUCAAUAGGUACAUUUCUCUAUUGUCCUUUCAAAAAAAUAUUUUUGCCAUUAUUAUACUGGAAUCAUAAUCUCUGGUAGAUUUACACUUUUCAUUCACUUUUUAAACCCCUUAAGUCUCUUUUCAAAAACAGAGAUAAAAUUUGCAUACAGUAGGUCUUAAGUGUAAACCUGAUGACUUUUUUUUUUUUUUUUUAAGAUUUUAUUUAUUUAUUUGAUAGAGAGACACAGCCAGAGAGGGAAUACAAGCAGGGGCAGUGGGAAAGGGAGAAGCAGGCUUCCUGCCCAGCAGAGAGCCCGAUGUGGGGCUCCAUCCCAGGACCCUGGGAUCAUGACCGGAGCCGAAGGCAGACGCUUAACGACUGAGCCACCCAGGCGCCCCAAACCUGAUGACCUUGUUGAAUGUAUACAUCCAUAUACCUCUGUAGUGAAACCUCCUUUUUUUUAAAAAAAAAAAGUUUUAUUUAUUUAUUUGACAGACAGAGAUCACAAGUAGGUAGAGAGACAGGCAGAGAGAGAGGAAGAAGCAGGCUCCCUGCUGAGCAGAGAGCCCGAUGCAGGGCUCGAUCCCAGGACCCUGGGAUCAUGACCUGAGCUGAAAGCAGAGGCUUUAACCCACUGAGCCACCCAAAUGCCCCGAAACCUCCCUUUUUUAUGCCACAGACUAGUUGAAGAGAUCAAUUCUGGGAAAUGUCCCACAUUCUGAAUGUGUUUGUUUGCUACCUUAUGACAUAAUUUUUAAAAAAUAUUGUUUUGUUUUAAGAUUUUAUUUAUUUUUGAGAGAAAGAGAGUGUGAGCAGUGGGAGGGGCAAAGGGAGAAGCAGGAUCCCCCCUGAAUGGGGAGCCCAACUCAGGACUCUAUCCUAGGACCCUGGGAUCAUGACUUGAGCCAAAGGCAGACGCUUAACCAACUGAGCCACCCAGGCUCCCUAUGGCAUCAUUUUCAUUGUUUUUUUUUUAUUGCUUCUAUUCUUCUAUUUCUAAAGUCUUUUUUUUUUUUUCUGCCAGGCUGUAAUUAAUUGUAAUUAAUGCCCCACCCCUCUCCCGGCCACUGGUAGGCUGGAUCCGCCAUUCCCGCACGCAGGCACCCCCUAUUUCUAAAGUCUUAAUCAUAUCCUGCUUUAACUUCUUUUCCGAAGCAAGGAGUUAGAAAACACUUCAUGGGAGGUGCGGUGUGUACUUGAUAUGGCAUGUCACUCUGAGCCCAGUGUCAGUGGGUGAGCCUGGCGGGGUGUUGUAAAGACCCCCACCAACCUUCCGUGCAGUAUUUUCAUCCUCUCAGGAUCUUCGGCCUGCAUCAGUCAUUUCGCUGGGGUUUGCAGAAAUGGCAGUGUCUGAUUCUGUCUAGUUUAUGGGAGGGGGUUCUUUUGUAAAAGAAAAAAAAAAAUCAGAGCUUCACUUUGGUUACCACAUGUACCGACCGUUUUAAUGGUCAUGUUUGAAGUGGGUUAGGCUUUUGAAAUGGCCAGUGCAAAUAGACUAAUAUUUAAAUAUGUCAGGUCAGAUAGUAAAUGUUUCCUUUUCCUGUUUUGUUCUCAAGUGAGUACUAGUUAAAGUCACCCCCAAGAAGGUUUAGAAGAUAGAGCCAAAGCAGGGAGUUUCCAGUGGGUCAAGCUCAAAGCAAGGAAGGACUUUCUAGAGCAAGAGCUGCCUUUUCUACCAGGGGUAUAUAAACUCCCAAGUACAGACAACUGCGUGGGGGGCGUGGCAUGGGAGGACAUUGUCUCUUUCCCACUGCCGUGAGUCUCUGGGUCUCUGAAGUUUCUGGCGCUUUCCAAAUACCAGGGGAGAUGGGGAGGAAAUGGGAAACUGAGGUAUUUGGAGGGAGAUUCUUUGAGCUGAUUGUGAACUGGCAGUAUCUGUGGUCUAGAGGCUGGGACUCUCCUAAGGGGGAUGGAAAGGGGAUAACCAGCAACAGGGUCCCCUGGGAUUUUCUAUCUGUUUUAAUGUUAUCUUUUUAUUGAAGUAGGACAUAAAAACACAAAUCCUAACGUACAAGUCAGUAAAUUUUCCGAAAGUGAACGCACCUACAUAAUCAGCACCCAGAUCAAGAAUCAAAGCGUUUCCAGUUUCCCCAAAUGUGUUAAUAUCCCUGCCAGUUCCUGCCCCCUUCCCAGGGAUGACCAUUCUAAGCUGACUGCUGACAGCUUCGAUUCAUUUUGCCUGCCUUUGAAUUUCACGUGCACACCCUCUGUCGUAUCCGGCUCCCACCACAUCACACACUGUCCUGCACGUGGUUGUGAGGCCGAAGCUCCCUGAUCCUCAUUGCGGUGUAGCUUCCACUGUGUGAACAGACAAUGCCUUCACGGUCCCUUCUGCUGUUAAUGGACCUUGGGUUGUUAUCAGUGUUUGACUAUGACAAGUAAAUAAUGCUGCUGUGACAUUCUA